AUCUACUUAUUACUGUGGUAGGUUUUCUGGCUACUUCCUUAACAAGGCUGCCAAAAUUUCUUCUAGACUGAUGACAGUUAUGAGGACAAAUAUGUUGGAGGAAACAUCAAGACUUUACUUCAACUCACAAAAGAUCUUCCUUUCAUUUGGUCAAAUUGCAUAUCCUCAUUACCCUGCAAUGAUGCCAAAACUUUUGCAGCACUGUACACUUCUAAUCCUGAUACUACUGGUCACUCUGCUGCCUGAGGGAGCACAAACAAAACAAAAAAACCCAUCACAGGAUGCAUACAUUAUGCUUCAAUAAUCUUUGAUUGCCAUACAUUGAGGAGUUUUCCCUGAUGCUUACAGCUGAGGUGAGCAGCACUCUCAGCUUGUGUAGAAGCCUAAGGAAUCACUGCUGAUGUUUUUGGCCCAUCUCACCCAUCUGUGGCAAUGGCUUUUGGGGAAGCAAAAUGGUGUAGGACAGAGAUACUGCCUCAGACUAUUCUUG
rnacentral:lncRNA from 1 species